GGCGCUCUGCGCAAGCGGAAGCCUAAGUAGCAGAAGCACAUUGUCAUCGCCGUAAUUUAUUUGGCAGUAUUUAAGGUGCAUUCCACGUCCGCGGCAAGUAUACACGAGUGGGAAAUUGUAAAUUCGAGAGCGGUUCCACACCAAAGGGCGUGAACUUCUUGUCCGCAAUAUUGGAAGGCAAAUAAAUAUCAACCACCGCAAACGUGGAAAUCGUUAAAAGCGUCAGAGGCGCUGACCAAGAAGACAACUGCCGCGACAUUCGCCAUUCUCAUGGAAAGCUGACUAACUGCCACACCGAAUGUUUUGCCCGUUCGUGCGAGCUGCCAGUGAAUUCGGUGCGGUGGUUGUUUGUUUGACGGACAACCUGAAUAUUUUGCCGUUUCGCUGGCCAUUUGGCCCAAAGCCAAAACAAACGCGCGUCUAACGUAGAAGCAAAAAGAAGCGAGAGCAAAAACGACAAAAAUAAAUAAGAAAAUAGUCGCUAAAAGUAGAAGUCCGCUGCUGAAAACGCUUACGGCUUACAGCUAGGAAAAUACCACGAAAUCAUCCGUUGAAAGAAAAGUCUCCACAAAGGCGGAAAAAUUAUAGCAAACUCUGCUUGUGUGGAAUAAAAUGAGAACAUAAUUGAGAGUGAGAGCAUAAUGCCGGAAAUCUGCUGAGCGGCAGCUGCUGUUUGGUUGCGCUAAAUCCACAUACACACACAAACAUAGACAUACUUCGAGCCAGCUGUUAAAGGGAAUAUACGGUAGCAGUUGCGGGUCAAAAAGACGAAUCAGCUUAGCAAAACAAACAUACCGAUAAUGUUAAGUCAUUUGUUCAAAGUGUUAUUAUUGAAAUACCACAACAGCUGCCCAUUCGGACAAUAGUAGCUUAACAGCUGUUCGCUCGUGCCUUAAUUUUUUAAGUGCUCUACGUCGGUUAAUUAUGCAACAGACAACGUAGGUGUAGCUGAUUCUUUCAGACACCGCUCAGGCGAUAUAAUCAUGAUGCAUUUUCAUAUCAGCAAGGAUCAAACCAGAGAAAGGCGGAAAAGAAAGAGGACAUACCCUCUGAGAAAUGAUUUUUUUUAAUAAAAACGAUGUGACAAAAAAUAUUUAAAACAAGAAAUGUUUUAUAUGUAUGCCUGAAUGAAAAUUGCAACAAGUUCGAGGAACUUAUUAUAGUUGGA